AUUCCUUCUAACAUUUGUCUUUCCAUUUCGAAAAAUGAUAUUACUAUAGGUAUAAUUGGCUUCUUUCAGAAUAACAAUAACUUAAUAGAGAAGUUUUUUGCUAAUCUGUUGCGGGAGAUGAAGGCAUUUAGUGAAGCAGGUAAAAUAGUACGAUCCAAUCUACCAAGUAGUAGUACAAUCCAAUCUACCAAGUGGUUAUGAUUGGUACUAAAGCAUCCUUUUUUUUCUCUUUAGUUUUCCUCUGCAUUUGUUGUUGAAUAAAUGGAAAAAAUAAAAGAUUCACACACACACAAAAAAAUAAUUUCCGUAGUUUAGCGAGUUAUUGAAGAAAUUUUCUCAACCAUGUUGAAAAGUUCUUUGAAGAAAAAAAUAAUGGUUGCUUCUUAUCAACUAAACGAUAUCCUUCAACUAAUGUUUACACUCUUUGAGUACAUUUCUGGAAUCUUAUGUGAAAUUUACAUAAAUAAAAAGUACUUGAAACUUUUAUAUACUUUGCUUGGUCGUAAGUAAUUUUUGGUUCUUUAUAAAGGAGAAUCCUCUGGGCUAUUUGGUGGAGUUUUGGUUAUGAGUUGGUAAAAUGACUGUGAAGCUGAGAAUGAUGAACUUCUUGCUUGCAGAUCACCCACUGUUCCAACAACAAAUGUUGAUCUCAAAUAUAUGACAGUUAUUCAAACUCAAGGCAAUCACGAGGCAACAAAAUGUGCAUGUGCGGGGGUGUAUAAGCUU
rnacentral:lncRNA from 1 species